rnacentral:rRNA from 1 species
GACGAACGCUGGCGGCGUGCUUAACACAUGCAAGUCGAGCGGUAAGGCCCUUUCGGGGGUACACGAGCGGCGAACGGGUGAGUAACACGUGGGUGACCUGCCCUUAGCUCUGGGAUAAGCCUGGGAAACUGGGUCUAAUACCGGAUAUGACUCCAUGACGCAUGUUGUGGGGUGGAAAGCCUUGUGCGGCUAGGGGAUGGGCCCGCGGCCUAUCAGCUUGUUGGUGGGGUGAUGGCCUACCAAGGCGACGACGGGUAGCCGGCCUGAGAGGGCGACCGGCCACACUGGGACUGAGACACGGCCCAGACUCCUACGGGAGGCAGCAGUGGGGAAUCUUGGACAAUGGGCGCAAGCCUGAUCCAGCCAUGCCGCGUGAGUGAAGAAGGCCU